UACAGGGGGCUCGAGCGUUAGUCGGAAUCACUGGGCUUAAAGGGUGCGUAGGUGGCUCGCCAAGUGUUUUGUGAAAUCCCACAGCUCAACUGUGGAACAGCAGGGCAAACUGGCGAGCUUGAGGCAGGUAGGGGCCGGAAGAACAGUUGGUGGAGCGGUGAAAUGCGUAGAGAUCCCCAAGAACACCAGUUGCGAAGGCGGCUGACUGGACACAUAUUGACGCUGAGGCUCGAAAGCAUGGGGAGCAAACAGG
rnacentral:rRNA from 1 species